GGCCCCAUCGUCUAGUGGUUAGGACACCGCCCUUUCACGGCGGUAACCGGGGUUCGAAUCCCCGUGGGGUCA
rnacentral:tRNA from 1 species